UUGUAAUUUGUAGAAGGUGCCUCGGGUGAGACUGCGGCCCAAGUCCCCUGGAACGGGGCGUCACAGAGGGUGAGAAUCCCGUACGUGGCCGCCCGGACGAACCCGUGUGAGGCCCUUUCGACGAGUCGAGUUGUUUGGGAAUGCAGCUCAAAUUUGGUGGUAAAUUUCAUCUAAAGCUAAAUAUCUGCCGGAGACCGAUAGCGCACAAGUAGAGUGAUCGAAAGAUGAAAAGCACUUUGAAAAGAGAGUUAAAAAGUACGUGAAAUUGUUGAAAGGGAAGCGCUUGCAACCAGACUUGCUCGCGGGUGCUUAGCCGUUCCUUCGGGGCGGUGCACUCUCCCGCGAUCAGGCCAGCAUCGGUUCUGGCGGCCGGAUAAAGGCUCCGGGAACGUAGCUCCCUUCGGGGAGUGUUAUAGCCCGGGGUGCAAUGCGACCCGCCGGGACCGAGGACCGCGCAUUUGCUAGGAUGCUGGCGUAAUGGUUGCCAGCGACCCGUCUUGAAACACGGACCAAGGAGUCGACCAGCCGCGCGAGUGUUUGGGCGUAAAACCCACGCGCGCAAUGAAAGUGAACGGAGGUGGGAGCCCCCGGGCGCACCAUCGACCGAUCCUGAUGUCUUCGGAUGGAUUUGAGUAAGAGCACGGCUGGUCGGACCCGAAAGAUGGUGAACUAUGCGUGAAUAGGGUGAAGCCAGAGGAAACUCUGGUGGAGGCUCGCAGCGGUUCUGACGUGCAAAUCGAUCGUCAAAUUUGCGCAUAGGGGCGAAAGACUUAUCGAACCAUCUAGUAGCUGGUUCCCGUCGAAGUUUCCCUCAGGAUAGCAGUAACGAAAAACAGUCUCAUGAGGUAGAGCGAACGAUUAGAGGCCUUGGGAUUGAAAUAAUCUUAACCUAUUCUCGAACUUCGAAUAUGUGAGAAGUCCUUGUUGCUUAGUUGAA
rnacentral:rRNA from 1 species